GACAUCGAAUCGAUAUCGAUAUCUAUAUUGAAAGUGAAAACUUCUCUUCUACACGGAAUAAAUUAAAUUAGCUAAACUCGUUUAAAUAAGGCAUAUUUUGUAGUAAACAAGACUACAGAAGAGAACAAACAUGUGCGGCGGUUUCACAUGCUCGAAAAACGCGCUAAUUGCGCUUAACAUUUUAUAUGUGAUGAUUGGAUUCCUGCUGAUUGGAGUGGGCGUGUACGCGCGUGCCGCCUCCAUUGUGACCAACCUGCCAAUUGUGGGCGGAAUCCUGGCCUGCGGCGUCAUCCUCAUCUGCAUAUCCAUGCUUGGACUGGCUGGAGCCGUAAAGCACCACCAAGUGAUGCUGUUCUUCUACAUGAUCAUUCUGUUCAUGCUGUUCCUCAUCCAGUUCUCCAUUGCCAGUUCCUGUUUGGCUGUCAAUUCCGAGCAGCAGCAGCAGUUCGCUGAACAAGGAUGGAUGACAGUGCCCACAGAUUUGCGCAAACAGGUGCAGGACAGUCUGAAAUGCUGCGGAUUCAAUGCCACAGGACCAAGCACAACCUCCGUGGUACCUCCACCGGAUGAGCCAUCCUGCGAGCUGAUUAAUCAACAUUGCUGUGCCCACUCCACCCAGGCGGACUGUCGCUGCGAACCCUGUGGACCCCUGCUGGAGGACAAGAUCGACUACGCCUUCAAGUUGUGCGGCGGUCUAGGAAUCUUCUUCAGCUUCACUGAGUUCGUUGGCGUCUGGCUAACAGUCCGCUAUCGCAAUCAAAAGGAUCCGCGAGGCUUGCCCAGCGCUUUUCUUUAAAUUAAACGCUAGUCGAGAACAAGAAAAACAUUUUCCAGAUACAGAAACUUCUAAAAGUUAUUUAGUGCAUGUAUCUCUGCUCUGUCUCUGCUAAAUGUUUGGUGUUGCGAUGAUGAAAGAUUUCAUGAGCUCUUGGGGCCCACAUACCAUAUAUAUACAAGCAUCCUUUAUAUUUAUACCAUCUACAGAUACAUAUAUACAUAUAUAUUUAAUCACAUUGCUGCAGAACUAUGUACGUAAUGUGUUAGGUCGUAAUUGAUAUACAACUUUAGACAUAUAUACAUAUUAAUAGAGAGAUAUAUAUAGAAGGAGAGAGCUAAGCGUUUAACCCAUUACGAACCCGAAAGCAAGCAAUCAGCAAAGAAACAUAUUUCCUUUAAUUCUCAACACACUUUCUUUAACACUUCUGAACAACAAAAUUGUACUUUCUCUUGACUGCCUGCUCUUUGACUAAGUUUAAGUCCAACAAGUGAACAAGGGUGUUGGCUGUUUUCCUGGCUCGUCGCUACCGCAAUCAACAUGAUCCCUGCUAUCUGCCCGCUCGUGCUGUCUUCCCGCGCGAUUAUUUAUAUUGAACGGGCUAAAAUCCGCAAACUGGAAGUGAAACAUUUUAGUCAAAGGGACGAAGGCUGAAUUCUUAUUUUUACAAACGCGUUUCCUAGAAAGAAUCGAAUCCAAACAUGAACAAGAGAUUACUCUCCGGAGGUGGAGAAAGUAGAGGAGGAGUUAUAAAUGUGCUCAACACUGCUAUUUAAGAGUCAUUUUAUUUUACCAUCCCAUUUGCUUGAAUUGCACAAAGUUAUUUAAUUAAUAAACCUCCAUUAAGAUUGUGUUUAGAUGUAAUAUUCUAGUUUAAGUUUUACUGUUUGUAACACCUUAGUUAGCUCUUAAUGCCUUUCUUUGCAACUCGCAACAAUCAUGAACAACUCGACGUGACUGGACUUUAAACUACUGUACCACUACGAGACAAACAUUUCAACAACCUGAUCUUAUUGUAGAACUAACAACCAAGUCAACAAUUGUAACUAGCAACUUAACAAGUAUACAUCAACCUAUAUACAAACGUAAUUGCAUUAUUGCCCUGAAGGCGUAUAAACAAUACUCUAAAUGUUAGUUGUGUGUUAAACUUUAAACUAGUGAGAAAAAAAGCCCACAAAAUAACAAAAAAAAGAGUAACCCUCUAAGCAUACAUGUCAACAAUUAUACAAGUCUAUAUAGAUAAAGCCUACACAUAAGAAAACUGCUUCUUCGAAUAUUUCACUCCUUUUCCGCACUUGCUCGACUUUCUCUGCAGCUUUACCUUCUCGACUUUCACCCUUUGCAAAAACGCCGCCAAGAACAAACAAAUACAUCACACACCCAACACGCUUCUUCCUCUUCGCACACACCACACUCUUAAGGAAAUAGUUUUCCCAGCAGUUUUUCCUUUCCAAUUUCUUUUCGAGCGACAAAUAAACCAUUAGAUAAUAUUCUCUGUAUUCUGUGCUGUGAUUGAAGUAAAUAUGAUCUUUAAAAACAACAAAAGCAAAAACCGAAA